AACGGUCUAUACCUGCGGUACCUGCGGAAGGAUCAUCAUUGAAAAAACAAAUUUCAAUAACUAACUAUUUUUGAUUUGAAAAGCUUCUUUUUAAAUAUAAUUUGUGAUAGGUAUAAUUAAUUUGUUGUGGCCUCGCUUUAAAGGAAAAAAUUUGGAGGGAGGAGAUAAUACUACACUUAUUAAUUAUUAUGAAUUAUUAUAUUUAUAAUUAGCUUUUAUCAAACUUUUAUUUGUCUGAUU
rnacentral:misc_RNA from 1 species